rnacentral:rRNA from 1 species
ACAGGUGGCUGCAUGGCUGUCGUCAGCUCGUGUCGUGAGAUGUGGGUUAAGUCCCACAACGAGCGCAACCCUUGCCUUUAGUUGCCAGCAGUUCGGCUGGGCACUCUAAAGGGACUGCCGGUGUUAAACCGGAGGAAGGUGGGGGAUGACGUCAAGUCCUCAUGGCCUUUAUGACCAGGGCUACACACGUACUACAAUGGCCGAUACAAAGGGCAGCGACACUGCGAGGUGAAGCCAAUCCCGUAAAAUCGGUCUCAGUCCGGAUUGGAGUCUGCAACUCGACUCCAUGAAGUUGGAAUCGCUAGUAAUCGUGGAUCAGCAUGCCACGGUGAAUACGUUCCCGGGCCUU